ensembl:lncRNA FAM86DP family with sequence similarity 86 member D, pseudogene
GGCCCCGCCCACGUCAUGGCGCCCGAGGAGAAUGCGGGGACCGAACUCUUGCUGCAGAGUUUCGAGCGCCGCUUCCUGGCGGCGCGCACGCUGCGCUCCUUCCCCUGGCAGGGGGGCGGCGGGCGAGCGGAGAGGCCCGCGGGGCUCGCGGGAGUCCAGGGGCAGACGGGAUGGGUCUCCGUGCUGAAACCCCCGGCGCUCCUGCCACAGCUUAGAAGCAAAGUUAAGAGACUCAUCAGAUUCUGAGCUGCUGCGGGAUAUUUUGCAGAAGACUGUGAAGCAUCCUGUGUGUGUGUGAAGCACCCGCCGUCAGUCAAGAAAGCCCGGUGCUUUCUCUCAGAACUCAUCAAAAAGACGUGCUGUAUUGCCCAGAAGCCAUCGUGUCGCUGGUCGGGAUCCUGCGGAGGCUGGCUGCCUGCUGGGAGCACCAGCAGUCUCCUGAGGUCUACGUGGCCUUUACCGUCCACAACCCAGAGACGUGCCAGCUGUUCACCACCGAGCUAGGCCGGGCUGGGAUCAUAUGGGAAGCGGAAGCUCAUCAUGACCAGAAACUGUUUCCCUAUGGAGAGCACUUGGAGAUGGCAAUGCUGAACCUCACACUGUAGGACUCACACACGACUCCAACGGGAUUGUGAGAAUCAAGUCAAUCUCAUGGGAAGAAUUUUUAUAUGGGAAAGCGGAUAAAACUUUCAUUGUACUGGAAUGUUUGGAGAAUGUUAAAUUCCAAAUCAGAAACCACAAACUGCCCUCUAAUAAGACAUCGGCUAUCUAAGCGUGUGGGUGCCCCCUUUCUGCCAGCAGUUCUGGUUCUUACGAAAAUCACCAUAUAUCAGACAUGAAAAUUCUGGCUUUGUGCAGAUAAAAAAGUGUGUAUCAAGUAUGACGUUCCCCCAAUGUGGACACACUUGGUUCCUCAGAAAGCCAAGCCCACUGCAGCUGCCACAUCCCUGGACACACUCGGUUCCUCACAAAGCCAAGCCCGCUGCAGCUGUCACAUCCCUGGACACACUCGGUUCCUCACAAAGCCAAGCCCACUGCAGCUGCCACAUCCCUGAGCCUAUGGUGCAGCAGGUGCUUUUUUCAAGACAGGGAUCAAAGUGUUAGGAACACGGCAGAAAGGUGACACCUGGAGACCAAAUGCAGGAUGAGGAGUACUGCAGAGGUCACAGGGAAGUCAGAGAACAGUAAUACGCUAACAGGGGCACGGGGCAUGAAGAACAAAAGACAGGAAGCGUUUCAGAGACUCCAAAGAAGAAAUCAGGGCCAACCACAGCUUCCCGGGUCAUUCACCAGGUGGCACCACUGCCGUCAUUUCAGCUUCUGGCCACUGGGAGGCGCUGCUCGAAAGGGUUUGCCCUGACACUCCAAGAAGCUGCGGGAAGGACAGCAGGGGCCCUGGGGUUUUAGCCUCUGGCCCAGGAGUUAUGUGUCCAUAACCAAAGGGAGCACAGUCUGCACCCAGCUCUCAUCCCAUCAGAGCUGCUGCGACUCCUGCAGGUUCUUCCGGAACUGGUUUAGCUUGCCUGCAGGAUCAGGAAAGUUUGAGAAAAGCAUCUGCAAAAUACUAAAGAGCAGAGCUUACCUCAUUGCCUGUCCCCACCCCAUCCCAGGUCACCACCUGGCUGACCCCAGGUCCCCGACCCAACAACAACCCCUCCCAAGUCCCUAACUCCCUCACUUGGACUUGAGACCCUUCACACCCCAGCAGCGCUCCGCCUCCCACUUGACAUCAUGCUUUCUGGAAACUUCCCCGUAUGUCCCACUUUCCCACACUUGGUGCCCUGGAGCACCUUCCGGCCUCUACAUGCUGUACGUUCCCCUGUGAGCACCCUCCUCUCGGCCUCUGGCCAACACAGUCCCACCCAUCUGUGGGUAACAAGGGGGAGUGGGUGUUCUUUUCAGCCUUGCUAAACUCUCUGAAUCAAGGAUCACAAACUACAGCCUGCAGGCCAAAUCCAGCCCACAGCCUGUGUUUGUAAAUAAAGCUUUAUUGGAAGAAAGCCACACCCCUUAA